CAGAACACAUUCAACAUGUCCGUCUAGUGUUAAGACGUCUCCCAUAGAAUAGCCUCUUCGUCAAAGCCGAAAAAUGUGCCUUCCAUCAAACUUCCGUGUCCUUUCUAUGAUUCGUAUUUCAGCACAACCAGAUUAGACCAGAUCCAGCCAAAGUCUCUGCCGUGGUGAAGUGGCCACCUCCCUCCAGUCGCAAACAAAUUCAACAGUUCCUAGGAUUUGCCUAUUUUUACUGUUGUUUCAUCCGUAACUUUAGUCUAGUAGCUGCUCCUCUCCAUAAACUCACUUCUUCCAAGUACGGUUUUCAUUGGUCCCCUGAAGCCGAACGAGCUUUUCAGUCCCUUAAACAUAGCUUUACCACCACUUCUGUCCUUAUCCAAUCUGAUCCGGACCGCCAGUUCAUCGUGGAGUUCGACGCCUCCGACAUCGGGGCCAUUCUCUCCCAGCGGACUGAGGGUGACAGCCUAUUGCACCCUUGGGCAUUUUUUUCACGACGGCUCUCUCCCGCUGAGUGCAAAUACGAUGAUGGUGACCGGGAACUCUUGGCCGUGAAGGAGGCGCUGGAGGAGUGGAGACAUUGGCUGGAAGUUUGCUCCUGAGGACUACUCCCCUACACCGGACUGCAUCCUUCCCAGCCACAUGAUUGUAGGCGCCCCCACCUGGGACAUUGAGCGAGUCAUCCAGGAGGCCCAAAGAACUCAUCCCAAUCCUGGAGGGGGACCUCCCAGCCGCCUUUUUGUGCCCCCCUCAGCCAGAUCUGACGUCCUACAGUUUGUUCAUUCCUCCAAAUUCUCCUGUCAUCCCGGCAUUCAUAGAACCAUACACCUUGCUCAGUAGCAUUUCUGGUGGCCCUCUCUCCAGGCAGACACCCGUGAGUUUGUCAGUGCCUGUACCAUCUGCGCCUGAAAUAAAUCAUAUCACCAACAGCCACCUGGUCUUCUUCAUCCGCUUCCUACUCCUGGCUGACCACGGUCCCACAUCUGCCUGGAUUUCGUCACUGGAUUGACUCCCUCAAGCGGAAACACAGUCAUCCUCACCAUCCUGCACCGGUUUUCAAAGGCAGUACACUUUCUGGCCCUGCCCAAGUUACUUUCGGCAAUGGAGACUGCGAACCUCAUGGUCCACCAUGUAUUCCGGCUGCAUGGCAUUCCCCUGGACAUCGUGUCUGACCGAGGGCCCCAGUUUACAUUUCAGGUCUGGAAGGCCUUCUGUGCUGCCUUAGGGGCUUCGGUCAGUCUCUUGUCCGGAUUCCAUCCCCAGACCAACGGGCAGGCGGAGCGGGCCAACCAGGAAUUGGAAGCUGCCCUUCACUGUGUUGCAUCCUCCCACCCAUCUUCCCUUUGAGUGCAUACCUAUCAUGGGUGGAGCAUGCUCAUAAUUCUCAGUCCAGGCCCAUCUGCAGCAUUGUCAACGAGUCUGGCGGACCGCCCCCUCCGCCCUUCUCUGGACGACAGAGAGGACUGUUCGCCAUGCAGACCGGCAUCGUGCCCCGGCCCCCCAAUACCGGCUUGGUCAGGAAGUCUGGUUGUCCGCCAAAGAUGUGCCUCUUAAGGCGGCUGCUAGGAAGCUGGCUCCUCGUCUAUUCCAGCACCUUGUGCCCUCCGGCCGUUCCCCCACCUACCCCCCAGACUGUGGAUAGCCAUCCUGCCUGGACGGUGAGCCACAUCCUCGACGUUCGUCGCCGGGGCUGUGGCUUCCAGUAUCUGGUGGACUGGGAGGGGUAUGGCCCUGAGGAGUGUUCCUGGGUCUCGCUGGGCCUUAUUUUG